rnacentral:rRNA from 1 species
CGGGGAAUAUUGGACAAUGGGCGGAAGCCUGAUCCAGCAACGCCGCGUGAGGGAUGACGGCCUUCGGGUUGUAAACCUCUUUCAGUAGGGACGAAGCGCAAGUGACGGUACCUACAGAAGAAGGACCGGCCAACUACGUGCCAGCAGCCGCGGUAAUACGUAGGGUCCGAGCGUUGUCCGGAAUUAUUGGGCGUAAAGGGCUCGUAGGCGGUUUGUCGCGUCGGGAGUGAAAACUUGGGGCUUAACCCCAUUCGUGCUUCCGAUACGGGCAGACUAGAGGCAGGCAGGGGAGAACGGAAUUCCUGGUGUAGCGGUGGAAUGCGCAGAUAUCAGGAGGAACACCGGUGGCGAAGGCGGUUCUCUGGGCCUGUUCUGACGCUGAGGAGCGAAAGCAUGGGGAGCGAACAGGAUUAGAUGCCCUGGUAGUCCAUGCCGUAAACGUUGGGCGCUAGGUGUGGGAUCCAUUCCACGGGUUCCGUGCCGCAGCUAACGCAUUAAGCGCCCGCCUGGGGAGUACGG